rnacentral:tRNA from 1 species
CAUUAGGUGACUGAAAGUAAGUAAUGGUCUCUUAAACCAAAAUAUAGUAUAAUUAACGAAAUACUCCUAAUGAAA